rnacentral:rRNA from 1 species
GGGUUGUGAGGUUAAGCGAACAAGCGUACACGGUGGAUGCCCUGGCAGUCAGAGGCGAUGAAGGACGUGCUAAUCUGCGAAAAGCGCCGGUAAGGUGAUAUGAACCGUUAUAACCGGCGAUGUCCGAAUGGGGAAACCCGGUGCACUUCGGUGCAUCAUCGUUAA